AUUUUGCAGAGGAACAAUAACAUCUCCACCUGAUGGUCAAGAUUUGUAUUUUUACCUGGAUCUUCUCACAAUAUAACUUGGACAUUAAAUGUUACUGGAAACAUUAAUUUAUGGACUUGGGGUUUAUACCUCGUGGUUCAUCUUCCCCUCAACAAAUUGCAAGAUUAUUCCUAUUAGUGACAGACUCAAUAUUCACCAUCACCUUUAACAGUGGAAGUUUUUAAAUCUGGAACUUUGUGGCUGAAGAAUGUAAAUCAAAGUUACAAUGGUGAAUUUACAUUAGCUAUUUCAACUGUUCUUCCUACUCUUCGAUCAAGAGUAAAUGUUUAUAUUGCUGUGAAACCAAAUGUUGUACACAAUUGUUCAAAUCUUCUGGUUGUGAAUGAAGGUGAUAAUGUGUCAUGUGUAUGUAGAGGUGAAGGAGGUAACCCUCCUGCUAAUGUCACAUGGUUUGAUAAAAAUAACAACAUAUUUGGUGAUGAUGUUGGAGUUGUAAGUAAGACAUUAGUAAUCACUAAUGUUACAAUGAAUGAUGGUGGAAAUUACAGAUGUAAAGCACAAAGUUAUAAUGAUCCACGUUUUAGAGA